rnacentral:rRNA from 1 species
UAUCCGGAAUUAUUGGGCGUAAAGGGCUCGUAGGCGGUUCGUCGCGUCCGGUGUGAAAGUCCAUCGCUUAACGGUGGAUCCGCGCCGGGUACGGGCGGGCUUGAGUGCGGUAGGGGAGACUGGAAUUCCCGGUGUAACGGUGGAAUGUGUAGAUAUCGGGAAGAACACCAAUGGCGAAGGCAGGUCUCUGGGCCGUCACUGACGCUGAGGAGCGAAAGCGUGGGGAGCGAACAGGAUUAGAUACCCUGGUAGUCCACGCCGUAAACGGUGGAUGCUGGAUGUGGGGACCAUUCC